ACAUUUCCAACUUAUUCUCUACACAGCUAGCAACAAGCAUCCUUUUCAUCCCUUUCAUCUGGAACCUCUCUCUCGUAAGUGACUUCAGUAUUCAGAGCCACUGUCUUCAUUGUUUGAAGAUUCACUGCUGAAUUUGCUCACGAGAUGUUUGAGAAACAGAUUCAUCUCAAGAAAAUGAAGAAUCAAAUUUUCAUUUGUAAACUUUUUUAUUUCAAUGUAAUAGGCUUUUAAUAAAAAGUUACGAAUUGAAAUAUC